rnacentral:rRNA from 1 species
GCACAAGCGGUGGAGCAUGUGGUUUAAUUCGAAGCAACGCGAAGAACCUUACCAGGUCUUGACAUCCCCUGAUAACCCGAGAGAUCGGGCGUUCCCCUUCGGGGGACAGGGUGACAGGUGGUGCGUGGUUGUCGUCAGCUCGUGUCGUGAGAUGUUGGGUUAAGUCCCGCAACGAGCGCAACCCUCGACCUUAGUUGCCAGCAUUCAGUUGGGCACUCUAAGGUGACUGCCGGCUAAAAGUCGGAGGAAGGUGGGGAUGACGUCAAAUCAUCAUGCCCCUUAUGUCUUGGGCUUCACGCAUGCUACAAUGGCCGGUACAAAGGGCUGCGAUACCGCGAGGUGGAGCGAAUCCCAGAAAGCCGGUCUCAGUUCGGAUUGGGGUCUGCAACUCGACCCCAUGAAGUCGGAGUCGCUAGUAAUCGCAGAUCAGCAACGCUGCGGUGAAUACGUUCCCGGGCCUU